rnacentral:rRNA from 1 species
UACGGAGGGUGCAAGCGUUAUCCGGAUUCACUGGGUUUAAAGGGUGCGUAGGCGGGUAAGUAAGUCCGUGGUGAAAUCUCUGAGCUUAACUCAGAGACUGCCGUGGAUACUAUUUGCCUUGAAUAUUGUGGAGGUGAGCGGAAUAUGUCAUGUAGCGGUGAAAUGCUUAGAUAUGACAUAGAACACCAAUUGCGAAGGCAGCUCACUACACAAUCAUUGACGCUGAGGCACGAAAGCGUGGGGAGCAAACAGG